UGCUCAUCUUCAACCCCAUGGCCGAAUAUAGCAAGGAGAAACCAUGGCUAGGGUUUUUCAAGCUUCCAAGCUCGAUUUGUUGACAAGCCAGCUCGGAAAUCGGAAACGGUCGGAGGCACGCUCACACUAUCCGUAUACCAUCUUGGCAUAAUGGCUUGUAUAUUUUGAGUAUGGCAUGUAUAGCAUUAUAAUCAUUUUAUAUGUAUGGUCUUAUGAUA